UGGCAGCAGCUCGGGCCUGCUGAAGAAUGAAGACGCAACAACAGGGGGAGGGAGAUUGGAAUGCUUCAGGAUCCUGAAAUAUGAUGUUAAACCUGAGCAUUUAUCCAAACAAGGUUAAGGUCCUGAAAAGGUAUAUGCAUCAGCAUCACAUCUCUUUUGACACUAGAGUUUAGUAGUUUUGAAUACCACACAUAUUAAAUCUGAGUACAAAUUCUUGCUCCUUAAUCACUGGUUCAACUAAUGCUAUUUUUUCAUAAGGGACACAUUCUCGCUCCUUAAUCACUGGUUCAACUAAUGCUACAAAUCUGAGCGGUGCUGGUUUGUUUUGAUUGAUCCUUGCUUAUUUAUUUAUCGUAGGGAUUGGAUAGCCCACAUGGUUGGUUAGGAAGAUAAUUGAGGUUCUAUGCCUAAUGUGUUUAUGGUCCCGUUAAUCCAAAAGAUCUUAUGUUGGUUUAUCUGGUGUGAUGGUAUUGUUUUGUCCAGGGAAUUAAUUCUAUACGCUUUGUGAGAAAAUGUUCAAUCCACCUUACCUUUUUGUAUCUUUUUUACAGUUCUCAGUUACAUGGAAGUGGUUAUUUCCAGUCCUUUGUGGUUAUCAUUGGUGUUUCCUGGUUCAGAGCACCUCCAUGACGGCACCCAACAGUCUCGGAGCCAAGGUGAGAUCCCCCUUCUCCUCCUGCCCCUGAGACCCCUCCUAUGUUUCAUGGAUUGUAUAAUGUGAUUUUUGUAACUGAUGGUCUUUGUUUUAUAUAGGUGAUAAGAGCAGGGAUGGACUCAUUAGCAUCAGCCAUGUGAAGAUGAUUGGAAAGUCUACUGGAGUAAUCCUUCUUCAUGGUAUACGGUACUAAUAUUUAGCCUAAAAGCUUUGGAUAUAUUUAAGAAAAAAUAUAUGGUGUUUUAUUAUGCAUAAAGC
rnacentral:lncRNA from 1 species